AUGGCGGCACUGCGACAUUUCCUCAGCCUGCAGCCAUCACAGGAGCUGUCCACAGUGGCUACCCUUUCCUGCUUCAGCCUACAUCCUUGGUGAAACACUAGUGCAGGAUCCGUCCCACGGGAGCUGUUUACAGUGGCAGCACCUCCUCUCCAGCCCCUCUCCACCCCCCUCCCCCCGCCGCCCUCAGCAGCUCCACAGAGAUGGUGCCUCAGCAAAAGCCAAAUGCAGCCUGGAAGGACUUUCCACCCUUAACCCAUGGCCCCGAUUCAGGGAAACACCAAUCCUUGAACUCCCCAAGCUCAUGACUUGAAAUCCCACCAAUCCUCGCUCUGGAAAUCUCUGCCUUGAAAAGCUUCACCCCUAAGAAAUUCUAUAAAAGCACUGUUCUUUGUCCAAUUUUUGCUGCCCACUUCUGCGAGCAGAGGGCAG
rnacentral:lncRNA from 1 species